rnacentral:rRNA from 1 species
GCCGGUGCCUGGUUCAGGUCCCCCUGCGUGUCUACUAUCCUAUCUGACCGGGCAAAUGCGCACGCCCAAAACAGGGAUUCUUUAUUUAUUCAGAUAACCAUGGAUAAGUGUCGAGUUCUAGAGCGAUGCACGCCAUACCCCCCCGCUGUCUUUUUUAUGUAUUCCUGGCAUGUGAUCCAUAAUAACUCUUCGAAUCGUGACUUGUUCACGAUAAAUCAUUCUCUUUUCUGCCCUACCAUGCUUUCGAUGGUAGUGUAUUGGACUACCACGGCUCUCACUGGUAACGGAGAAUUGGGGUUCCAUUCCUGAGAAGGAGCCUGAGAAACGGCUACUACAUCUAAGGAAGGCAGCAGGCGCGUAAAUUACCCAAUCCUGACUCAGGGAGGUAGUGACAAUAUAUCACAACGUGAAGUCAAAUUCGCGAUUGUACUGAGGAUAUUCCUACCCGACCUUCAAGUACGAUUGGAUGAUGAGUCUUGUUGCCCGCACCCGCGCUCAUU